rnacentral:antisense_RNA from 1 species
ACAGGCGGCUGGACGGAUGGCCUGGCCGACAUCUGCAUAAACAAAGCUCCAGGAGCCCGGCCUGGUGGGGCUGCAUCGCCCUCGGCUCUCAGCCCUCGGGGGAGGCGAGGGGAGCAUGCAGAACCACCCCUGAGUGUUCCACCAGUCCAGGGAGGGCGCCCGCAGCUGGCCCCGGCAAGAAUGAAGUUCGGAUGCUUGGAGCGUGUUGCCCACGAGUCCGAGAGCUUCCUUUAGGGGCUGGCAGCAGCCACACCCUCUGGGCCUGAGGGUGUGGGACACCAGCGCUCCCCACUCCCAGCCUCUGUCCCUGCACGGCCCUCACCUGCCCUUCCAGCCCUGUCUCUCUCAUCGACUUCCUGCUAAGCCUGGCCCCCAGGCCUCCCCUCCCUAAGGAGCAGUUGUAAGGCCAGCUAGAGGCAGAGCUGAGCCCUGGACCCCCAGGCCAGCCCACCACCUGCUGUCCCCACCCUCACUCUG